rnacentral:rRNA from 1 species
UACGAAGGGUGCAAACGUUGCUCGGAAUUAUUGGGCGUAAAGCGCACGUAGGCGGCUUAGCAAGUCGGAAGUGAAAUCCCUCGGCUCAACCAAGGAAGUGCUUUCGAAACUGCUGAGCUUGAGUACUUAAGAGGAUCGCGGAAUUCCCGGUGUAGAGGUGAAAUUCGUAGAUAUCAGAAGGAACACCGUGGCGAAAGCGGCUUCCCUGGUCCAGCACCGGACCGUUCAGGCACGGAAAGCGUGGGGAGCAAACAGGG